GUGAACUUGUUUAGUGAGUCUCAGUUGGAUGGUUCACAUAAAUAGUUUCAAAUGAGAAGUCCUUAGUUUUGAAAAUGUAUAUAUGUGUGGUUUGAAAAGUAUUAGUUAGUAAGAAACUAUAUAAGUAGUUCAGUGAGUAGUUUGUCUGCACUGGAGAGAUGUGUUGUUGGGGUGUGUGCUUUAAAAAAAAAAAAAAUUCUAACAGGACGUUGACAUCAUCUGUCAUACCCCAAAACUGCACAGGAAGUCAGUCACAGCAUACUGAGUGCAUCUCGUUCAUUUAUGGGACAAUAUGGAGCUCAUCUGGUUCAUAUUCACUUUACUGCUGACUGUCUAUAAAUCCAAUGGAGAAAUCCGCCAAGAGCCAGAAAUCCUUGCCAACAGGAGUUCAGAUGUGACAUUGACGUGUCAACAUGAUAAUUCUGACCAUUACAGAUUGUUCUGGUACAGGCAAGCAAAGGGGACUCCGGGUUUGUCUUUAUUGGUAUAUUCUGCUGGCCCAAAUCAGGCAGAUAUUGAAGAACCAUUUAAAACUCAAAAGUCUAAGUAUGCAGCCACCCGUCCUGUAAUAACGAUGUCCACGCUGCAGAUUAACAGACUAGAGACUGAAGACUCAGCUCUCUAUUAUUGUGCCACGAGCACACAGUAAUAUAUUACAGCUGCACAGCUAAACAACAACCACAAAGUUAACACUGCGCCGUGCAUUCCUCUCUCAUUUAUGAUGUCAUUUCCUGUUCCUUUUGAUCAUAGACUCACUAAAUAGGAAAGUCAAAAUAAACCUAGAAGGGGUGAGAGACAGUAAGGAGCGGAUUGUUCUCUUUCACGUCAUGGGCCUGCUUUGUUUGGGGUUUAUUUUGCUGCUAGUUAUUAAUUCAUUAGGAGGAAUAACCAUCAUUCAGAAUGAUCAAGUUGGUAAAACUGAAGUGAUUAUUGAACGGGAUAAACAGGUUAUUUUAAAAUGUAACCACGAUGAUGGCAGCUAUUAUUAUAUGUACUGGUACAAACAGACAGGUCAAGGUGAACUGUCCCUUGUUGCUAUUUCCCUUGCUAAAGAUUCAACAGAAAUAGUUGCCCCAUUUUUUAAAACAAAAUACAUAAUGGAACGUCCUGAAACUAAAGAAUCUUCACUGGAGAUCAAGGAUCUAGCAGCGAACGACUCGGGUAUUUAUUUCUGCGCCUCAAG